rnacentral:rRNA from 1 species
CCUACGGGUGGCAGCAGUGAGGAAUAUUGGUCAAUGGGCGCGAGCCUGAACCAGCCAAGCCGCGUGAAGGAUGACUGCCCUACGGGUUGUAAACUUCUUUUAUAAAGGAGUAAAGUGAGGCACGUGUGCCUUUUUGUAUGUACUUUAUGAAUAAGGAUCGGCUAACUCCGUGCCAGCAGCCGCGGUAAUACGGAGGAUCCGAGCGUUAUCCGGAUUUAGUGGGUUUAAAGGGAGCGUAGAUGGGUUGGUAAGUCAGUUGUGAAAGUUUGCGGCUCAACCGGAAAAUUGCAAUUGAUACUGGCAGUCUUGAGUACAGUUGAGGUAGGCGGAAUUCGUGGUGUAGCGGUGAAAUGCUUAGAUAUCAGGAAGAACACCGAUGGCGAAGGCAGCUUACUAAACUGCCACUGACGUUGAGGCUCGAAAGUGUGGGUAUCAAACAGGAUUAGAUACCCGGGUAGUC